GGCCAGGUAGCUCAGUCGGUAGAGCAUGCGGCUGAAAACCGCAGUGUCGGCGGUUCGAUUCCGCCCUUGGCCA
rfam:Sulfurihydrogenibium azorense Az-Fu1, complete genome.